rnacentral:rRNA from 1 species
UACAGAGGUCUCAAGCGUUGUUCGGAUUCAUUGGGCGUAAAGAGCGCGCAGGCGGCCAAGUCAGUCGAAUGUGAAAGCCCCCGGCUUAACUGGGGAGGGUCAUUCGAUACUGCUCGGCUCGAAGACAGGAGAGGGAAGUGGAAUUCCCGGUGUAGUGGUGAAAUGCGUAGAUAUCAAGCGGAACACCGGUGGCGAAGGCGGCCUUCUGGACAGUGACUGACGCUGAGACGCGAAAGCGUGGGGAGCGAACAGG